CACGUAAGGCGCUAGCGUUGUUCGGAAUCAUUGGGCGUAAAGGGCGGGUAGGCGGCCGCGCAAGUCUGGAGUGAAAUCCCCGGGCCCAACCCGGGGGCCGCUCUGGAAACUGCGCGGCUGGAGUCGCCGAGGCGGGGCCGGAAUUCCAGGUGUAGGGGUGAAAUCUGUAGAUAUCUGGAAGAACACCGGUGGCGAAGGCAGGCCCCGAGCGGACGACUGACGCUGAGGCGCGAAGGCGCGGGGAGCGAAC
rnacentral:rRNA from 1 species